UACGUAGGUGGCAAGCGUUGUCCGGAAUUAUUGGGCGUAAAGGGUCCGCAGGCGGCCUCGUAAGUCGGGUGUGAAAGCCCGGGGCUCAACCCCGGAACUGCAUUCGAAACUGCGUAGCUUGAGUACGGGAGAGGGAAGCGGAAUUCCUGGUGUAGAGGUGAAAUUCGUAGAUAUCAGGAGGAACACCAGCGGCGAAAGCGGCUUCCUGGCCCGAUACUGACGCUCAUGGACGAAAGCGUGGGGAGCAAACAGG
rnacentral:misc_RNA from 1 species